ensembl:lncRNA
GAUUUAUUGCUAUAACCAGGCAGUAUUCAGUCAUCUUCAGCAGAAGAAUCCAGACCCAAAGACAUCAGGAUAGCACUGAGUGGCUGGGACUUUCUUUUUUUUUUUCACAUUCACUAGCUUGUGCCCUUAUGUGAAAUCAUACCAAAGGGAAGGACGUCAACAUGGAGUUGCACACUAAAUGCCAGAGACCUCUGGGGGAGAACAGUCAGCUGAAAUGGCUAUCAUCCCAGAACCUUGCACCCACCAUGUUUACCUCACUGCAAAUUCUCACACAAAUGGAAAAGUACAUUUUCAAAUGUCUGUCUUUUGACACAGGGGACUUGUACUUCAGCACGUAUGACGAAGACACAAGUGGAAGAAAAUGCACUGGCAAGAAGCAAUCUAAAAAUAGCAGCUGAGCUGGAAGCUGUCCACACAUACAAAACAAUACCAUGAAGGAGAGACUGGGGUUUUUGCUUUUUAAGGGCUAAAGCAUGUUUUUAUUUCAUUAUUGUAUGAGCAUUUUCUAAUCCUACUUUUUUUUUUUUUUUUUUUUUUUGCCUGUCCCGUUUGGUUCUUUGGCCAUCAGAAUUAUUGUCUGAAGGUGAGAAAAGAUGCCCAACGGAUUUACUUUACCAAAUUGACCAUCCCAGCCUUGCCGUAAUGGUCUAUUUGAUUCAUCUUUUAUGGUUUAUUUUAUUUAUUUAUUUAUUUAUUUACUUAUUUAUUUAUUUAAUUUUUUUUUUAUUUUCACUUGCUGGAUAUGGGACAGACUUGAAUGAGGAAAAGAAAAGGGAGAGGGGGGGAAAACAGUGUAGAAGAGGGACAGGGAUAAAGGGCAAAAAAACCCCCAAAAACCAACUAAAUAAGCAGACAAAAAAACCCAAAAAAAAAUACAUAUAUCAAUCACCUGGAUCACCUGUUGAGAAAAAAAAAAAAGAAAAGAAGCAGAAGAAAACGAGAGCAAUACAAUAAACACCAUCACAAUGAUAUAUGGGAAUAUAACAGUAAAUACUAAAUAUUAAACAUUAUUGUGCAGCACAUAAGAUCAACAGAGCACAGUGUGCUUUGAGGUAGGAGCCAAAAAGGGUGUAGUUUGUGGGUGUGAGCACCCGUGUGUACACCUGUGAGCAUGGGUGCGCUUGUUUUUAAAAGGUUCCUUCAUGUAAUGAUCUGCUAGAGGGUGUGGGCACGUCCUCCAGGGCAUGAAGCAGGUAUGGAGGAGAU